rnacentral:misc_RNA from 1 species
GAACGCACCUUGCGCCCUUUGGCUAUUCCGAAGAGCAUGCUUGUUUGAGUAUCAGUAAACACCUCAACCUCCUCUUGUUUUUUCAAAAGGAGGGUGGACUUGAGCUAUCCCAACAACCUUCACCGGUAGGCGGGCGGCUUGAAAUGCAGGUGCAGCUGGACUUUUAUCUGAGCUAAAAGCAUAUCUAUUUAGUCCUCGUCAAACAGGAUUAUUACUAUUGCUGCAGCUAACAUAAAGGAUAAUUGUCCUCAUUGCUGACUGAUGCAGGAUUUUACGACACUUUAUGUGUUGUUCAACUCGAUCUCAAAUCAAGUAAGACUACCCGCUGAACUUA